AUCCGGCUGAGGUGUCCCAAAUAGGACGAAACGCGCUUCCUGGAN
rfam:Schistosoma rodhaini strain Burundi genome assembly, scaffold: SROB_scaffold0001559